AGCCGCAAUUUGUGCUAAGGUAGCAUAAUCAUUUGUCUUUUAAAUGAAGACUAGAACAAAAGAUUUAACAUUUUAAUUUAUUUAUUCAUUCUAAUUCUCAAAAUUAUUUUUAAUGUAAAAAGACAUUAAUAUAAAAGAAAGACGACAAGACCCUAUUGAACUUAACUUCAGUUUUACUGGGGCAGUAAAUUAAUUAUAAUUUUAAUUCAAAAGUAAACAUAAUCAUUUAAUUAUAUUAAAUUUAAUCAGUUACCAUAGGGAUAACAGUGCAAUUAUAUUCACAAAGUCCAUAUUUAAAAUAUAGAUUACAACCUCGAUGUUGAAUUAAUAUCCUAAAUUAAAGCAACCUUUAAAUAAAGGAAGUCUGUUCGACUUUUAAAAAAUUACAUGAUUUGAGUUCAGACCGGUAUAAGCCAGGUCGGUUUCUAUCUUCUAAAUAAUUUUCUACAGUACGAAAGGACACAGAAACAUAAUUUAAUUAAAUUAUAUUGGCAGAAAAAUGCAUUAGAAUUAGAAUCUAACCAAACUUUU
rnacentral:rRNA from 1 species